GAGUAGCUCCUCGAAGAGGAGGGAGAGCUGCUUAACGUUGCGGGGGACGGAGGAGAAGUUGGGAUUAACACGAAGGGGGGACGACGACGGCGAAGGUUGUUGGUGGGAGGAGACGUCACGGGAGAGGAAGAGGAGGUGGCGGAGGAGGUCGGCGUCGGUGGACGGGUCGGGUGGCGGAGGAGGGGAGGAGGAGGAGGUGGCCAUGGAAGAAGCUGUCGUGUCCUCGAUUCAAGCGUCGGGAGUCGUAACAGGAAAGGAAGGGGAGUUCGAGGGGUCUAUAUGGUGGUGGUGGUCGUCCGCUGCUGGUGCUGUGCAGUUAUGUCGGCCGGAAUUGCGUGGAAAGCAAGAGGAUGUAUGAGCUGGGGAGGAACAAGUGCGGUCGCCGCC
rnacentral:lncRNA from 1 species